CUCGCGGAGCGCGAUGGUCGCGGGCCCUUCGGGGCUCGAGGAAAGUCCGAGCUCCACAGGGCAGACUGCCAGGUAACGCCUGGGCGCCGCGAGGCGACGGACAGGGCCACAGAGAACAGACCGCCACGCCGCAAGGCGCGGUAAGGGUGAAACGGUGGGGUAAGAGCCCACCGCGCGUCCCGGCAACGGGCGCGGCACGGCAACCCCCAGUCGGAGCAAGGCCAAAUAGGCGGCGAGGUCCGGCCCGGACCGCCAGCGCCCUUCGGGGCGAGCCGCGGGUAGGCCGCGCGAGGUGGCGGGUGACCGCCAUCCCAGAUAGAUGACCAUCCGGCCCUCGGGCCGAACAGAACUCGGCUUACGGCUCCGCCUUCCGC
rfam:Gemmatimonadetes bacterium RIFCSPLOWO2_02_FTLL_71_11 rifcsplowo2_02_scaffold_51151, whole genome shotgun sequence.